UAAGCGUGCGCAGGCGGUUUGUAAGACUGUCGUGAAAUCCCCCGGGCUCAACCUGGGAAUGGCGAUGGUGACUGCAAGGCUAGAGUUUGGCAGAGGGGGGUAGAAUUCCACGUGUAGCAGUGAAAUGCGUAGAUAUGUGGAGGAACACCGAUGGCGAAGGCAGCCCCCUGGGUCAAAACUGACGCUCAUGCACGAAAGCGUGGGGAGCAAACAGGAUUAGAUACCCCGGU
rnacentral:rRNA from 1 species